CGAAAUUGCCGCCGCGCUUGUGCCAAGGAGAGCGACGAUUUUAUUCGAUUUUAUUCAAAUUUACGGCGCGACGAUGGCUAUAUAUCUACCCAUUAUAUCUACCUAUCCAUGACCGUUGUCGGGAAGAGAAAAUAUACGUAGUACGUGCGCCUGUGCGACCGCAGUUUAUAAAUAGAGCUCUUAUCCUGAAACGGCGACCUUGUCAGACCCCGUAUCAAGCAAUAAUCAUGAUAUACUUCGCAUCAGCUUGGACUUGACUAUUUUAUGGUAUUUAUUCCAUAAAAAAUAUGAGCAUUGCUAUGCAAUAACUGCUACGAUAUUCGUAAGAAAACCUCAGUCGUUUUGAUUUCUGAGAAGUAAAGAUGAAAAACGGAAGCUGCCCUGCUUCGCUCCACUUUGAAAUUUAUAUAAUAGGGCGACUUAAGGGCAAAUAAAGGAAGAAAUUAAAAAUGAUUUCUACCCUCUACGGUACAUCUGGGUCUUUUGAGGUGCAACCCAAAUUUUUUCCUUAAAUAUCUCCGAAAUGCAAGAAGGGCUCGACCUGGCUCCACUCCCUGAAAAAAGUUAUUGGUAGUGGGGACUCAAGAGCCAAGAGACGACGAAGUCCGGCAGUUUGCUGGUAAAUAGUAGAGAGUGCAAAUCGUGUGCCCUGAGAGACCCGGGAGUUUCGCGGCCUUAGUGUUCUGCAACAGUAAGUAAAAUUUAUUUGUUUCGUUUUUUCAAUUGUUUUCAAGUGCUUAUCAAUAAUAUAAAAGUUUCUCGAGUUAUU
rnacentral:lncRNA from 1 species